rnacentral:rRNA from 1 species
CAACAAAAGGGUUUGAUCCUGGCUCAGAACGAACGCUGGCGGCGUGGAUCAGGCAUGCAAGUCGCACGAGAAAGUACCUUCGGGUA